AGUCGAGCGAUGAAGUUUCUUCGGAAAUGGAUUAGCGGCGAACGGGUGAGGAACACGUGAAGAAUCUGCCCUCCACUUUGGGAUAACACCGGGAAACCGGUGCUAAUACCGAAUAUUGAAACAUAAGUGGCAUCACUGAGUUUUGAAAGAAUUUCGGUGGAGGAUGACUUCGCGGCCUAUCAGCUAGUUGGUGAGGUAAUGGCUCACCAAGGCAACGACGGGUAGCCGGCCUGAGAGGGCGACCGGCCACACUGGGACUGAGACACGGCCCAGACUCCUACGGGAGGCAGCAGUGGGGAAUAUUGGGCAAUGGAGGAAACUCUGGCCCAGCGACGCCGCGUGCGGGAUGAAGGCCUUCGGGUUGUAAACCGCUUUCAGUAGGGAAGAAGCGAAAGUGACGGUACCUACAAAAGAAGCACCGGCUAACUAUGUGCCAGCAGCCGCGGUAAUACAUAGGGUGCAAGCGUUGUCCGGAAUUAUUGGGCGUAAAGAGCUCGUAGGUCGUUUGUUACGUCGGAUGUGAAAACCUGAGGCUCAACCUCAGGCCUGCAUUCGAUACGGGCAAACUAGAGUUUGGUAGGGGAGACUGGAAUUCCUGGUGUAGCGGUGGAAUGCGCAGAUAUCAGGAGGAACACCAAUGGCGAAAGCAGGUCUCUGGGCCAAUACUGACACUGAGGAGCGAAAGUCUGGGGAGCGAACAGGAUUAGAUACCCUGGUAGUCCA
rnacentral:rRNA from 1 species